rnacentral:rRNA from 1 species
UAGAGUUUGAUCCUGGCUCAGGACGAACGCUGGCGGCGUGCCUAACACAUGCAAGUCGAGCGGGGAACUUCGGUUCCCAGCGGCGGACGGGUGAGUAACACGUGGGUAACCUGCCUUGUAGAGGGGGAUAGCCUUCCGAAAGGAAGAUUAAUACCGCAUAACAUACAUGCUUCGCAUGAAGAAUGUAUCAAAGGAGCAAUCCGCUACAAGAUGGACCCGCGGCGCAUUAGCUAGUUGGUGAGGUAACGGCUCACCAAGGCGACGAUGCGUAGCCGGCCUGAGAGGGUGAACGGCCACAUUGGAACUGAGACACGGUCCAGACUCCUACGGGAGGCAGCAGUGGGGAAUAUUGCACAAUGGGCGAAAGCCUGAUGCAGCAACGCCGCGUGAGUGAAGAAGGCCUUCGGGUUGUAAAGCUCUGUCUUCUGGACGAUAAUGACGGUACCAGAGGAGGAAGCCACGGCUAACUACGUGCCAGCAGCCGCGGUAAUA